GAAUAUGAAAUGAUAAAUCAUAAUUAGUUUCGACCUAAUCUUAGGUAAAUUUACCCAUAUUCU
rnacentral:tRNA from 1 species